GAUCCUGGCUCAGGAUGAACGCUAGCGGCAGGCCUAAUACAUGCAAGUCGAGCGGCAAGUCGAGGAGUAAUCUAAGACCUAGAGCGGCGCACGGGUGCGUAACGCGUAUGCAACCUACCUUAUACUGGGGGAUAGCCCGGAGAAAUCUGGAUUAAUACCCCAUGGCACAUAUUGAUGGCAUCUGAGAUAUGUUAAAGAUUUAUUGGUAUAAGAUGGGCAUGCGUCUGAUUAGCUAGUUGGCGGUGUAACGGACCACCAAGGCGACGAUCAGUAGGGGUUCUGAGAGGAAGGUCCCCCACACUGGCACUGAGAUACGGGCCAGACUCCUACGGGAGGCAGCAGUGGGGAAUAUUGGGCAAUGGAGGAAACUCUGACCCAGCGACGCCGCGUGCGGGAUGAAGGCCUUCGGGUUGUAAACCGCUUUCAGCAGGGAAGAAGCGAAAGUGACGGUACCUGCAGAAGAAGCACCGGCUAACUAUGUG
rnacentral:rRNA from 1 species